rnacentral:rRNA from 1 species
GGUAGCCGGCCUGAGAGGGCGACCGGCCACACUGGGACUGAGACACGGCCCAGACUCCUACGGGAGGCAGCAGUGGGGAAUAUUGCACAAUGGGCGAAAGCCUGAUGCAGCGACGCCGCGUGAGGGAUGACGGCCUUCGGGUUGUAAACCUCUUUCAGCAGGGAAGAAGCGAAAGUGACGGUACCUGCAGAAGAAGCGCCGGCUAACUACGUGCCAGCAGCCGCGGUAAUACGUAGGGCGCAAGCGUUGUCCGGAAUUAUUGGGCGUAAAGAGCUCGUAGGCGGCUUGUCACGUCGGUUGUGAAAGCCCGGGGCUUAACCCCGGGUCUGCAGUCGAUACGGGCAGGCUAGAGUUCGGUAGGGGAGAUCGGAAUUCCUGGUGUAGCGGUGAAAUGCGCAGAUAUCAGGAGGAACACCGGUGGCGAAGGCGGAUCUCUGGGCCGAUACUGACGCUGAGGAGCGAAAGCGUGGGGAGCGAACAGGAUUAGAUACCCUGGUAGUCCACGCCGUAAACGGUGGGCACUAGGUGUGGGCAACAUUCCACGUUGUCCGUGCCGCAGCUAACGCAUUA